rnacentral:hammerhead_ribozyme from 1 species
AUACUGCCGAAGAGUCCCAAACUAGGACGAAACAGUUGUCCAGUAC